rnacentral:rRNA from 1 species
UACGUAGGGGGCAAGCGUUGUCCGGAAUCAUUGGGCGUAAAGCGCGUGUAGGCGGCCCGGUAAGUCCGCUGUGAAAGUCGGAGGCUCAACCCUCGAAUGCCGGUGGAUACUGUCGGGCUAGAGUGCGGAAGAGGCGAGUGGAAUUCCUGGUGUAGCGGUGAAAUGCGCAGAUAUCAGGAGGAACACCAAUUGCGAAGGCAGCACGCUGGGACGUUACUGACGCUGAGACGCGAAAGCGUGGGGAGCAAACAGG